CGGGCAGCGGGGUGGUGUGGGACCAGCCCAGGGAGCGAUGUCUAGCCAGUUCGUGCUCGGGCGCCCAGGGAGGGCCAGCCCGGUGCAAAGGGUGUGCAUGGGGGAGCCGGGCCUAAUCCCUGCUGCCGGGCUGGGCUCUCUCCAGCCACCCUGUCUGUCCUGGUGUAGCUGCAAGUAUUUGACUUCUGUCAUCUUUACCAGAAUACCAGCUUUACGGAAACUGAACGCACCACACACUCUGGUGUAACUCCACUGGCUUCAAGAUUUCUUGUGGUACAAACAGGAGAAGUCUCAAGCCCCAUUGUAUGAAGGAAAUGCUGGGAACUCUUUGUUCAAUAUACUGCCAGCAUACAUAUGAACGCACAAAGGACCAGAUUCAUAGUUGCCUUAAGGGAAGCAUAAGCCCCCUAGCAAAGAUUCUCUUCUGUCCUGUGCAGAAGACUGCUAUGCCAGGACUGCAUCUCCUCAGUAGGAGCCCUCUGCUCAGAGGGCAUUCUGGAGAGAGAUAACUGUGGUCAACACAUUUUUACAGCUCAGCAAUCCUGUGCCCUGGCCAUGGGCCAUAUAGGUCACUGCAACUGGAGCACAAACUCAGCCAGCCUUUAGGGCUGCAAUCAUCUGUACACAAUUGUUUUCUGUGAAUAAUAAAGAAGGGCUGUCUUUUUUUUUUUUAACAUGGAUGUUUAACCUUAGAAAUAUCAGAGAUGUCAAUAUCUGGUCUUACCUUGUUUUGUUGGAGGACUUUUUGCGGGUUUCAGAGAUGCAUAUUGUUAGUUCUCAUGCCCUACUUAUAGUGGGAUUGGAAUCCUUGACAGACUUCCUUUCUCCAAAAUAUUAGUCAUUGGAGUUUAACAGGGGGUUAAUAAAAACAAAAACACACACAAUCCUCCUCCCCCCCACCCCACAAGGAGAAUUUUAAACAGUCUGACUCAAAAUCGCUUCCCCUCUCAAGAGCUCAACUUUCACCUCCUUGGCUUUUGUGAUGUCAUCACUUCACUAGUUCUUCAGUCGUCAUAAAGUCUUCCAGGACACAAGACCUGAUUUUUUUCCUAAUAUAAAUAUACAGGGGAGAAAAAGACCCUUAAGAAAAUAAAACUGAAAGCUUUCCAGACCUUCUCUAUACAUCAUUAUGAAUCAAGAAAGAACACAAGCCCGCCCGCCCCCCCUUUUUUUUUCUCACUUGUAACCAACCACCAGCAAGUAUCAGUUGAGGGGUAGAGUGGAUGUUUAACUGAAGUGAGAACAAAAUUGUACUGGAAACCUUGGGGAGAGUUUAAAAUGUUCACUAAAGACCAGGAUUGUCUGUUACAAGUAGAAUCCUCAGGUUUCACUGUAUUUAAUAUGAAGAAAAAUAAAACACUACCAGAGGGGGUUAAUUGAUUGGGGGAGAGGGGGGAAAUCUAUACUUGCUGAUCUAGGAAAAAGUAGAGGAUAAAAAAAUUGGAAAAUAGUGCUGUGUCAGCACAUACUAUAUUACAGACUGCAAAAUAAAGUGUAGUCUCCAAUUUCUCGACUCUCCAACGGAUCUUGGACCAAGGAAGGCACAGUACAUUUCAGAAAUAAUCAUAAUAUUUAUUAUGUUGCAUGGUAAGGAUGGGUGAACUUGUUUGAACUUUGAUCUCACACAAAUAUAACAUGUUUGACUCUAUUAAACAUUAGUCGAUGCAUAUUCCACUUAGGACAAGACUUAAAAAAAAGACUAGGGGUUGAAGUGAACCAGUGAGAGCAGUAUUGCCAACUCCAAACAUUUAAAAAAAAAAAAAGGGGGGGGGGGCAAAAUAAUGAGAUUAGCUUAAAAAUCAAGAGAUGUUUUAAAAUUAAUAUAUUUGGAUUUCUUUUUAUUUGCCUUCUGUUUUUUGAGUCUUUAGCGUGCAUUUGGGUCACAUUUUCAGACUUUUCUUCUAACACCAUGGGGAAAAGAAACUUACUUUUUAUGUAAAUGGAAGCUGAGUUUCUCACAUAAUCAGGCUUCUCAGAAAGGUGGGACUUUAGUAAAUCUUCACAUAUCACAAAACUUUCAUUAAAAUCACAAGAAUUGGCAACCAUUAGAAAAGCUGAAAAGGAACAAACUAGAGAAGAAGGAACAGAAUAUAUUUUUUAAAAAUAUUUUAAAAUAUACAAACACACCCACCUUUCUCCAAUCUAGCUUUUGGGGGAGAGGGAAGGGACUGAUUUUUUUAAAAUCACUGGUCACUUUUGAAAACAUAGGCCUUUAUAUUUCAUGAAAUUAGGUUGCUUUUGUUACCUAGUUAUCUUAGAGAGGAAAACAGUGAUAUAGUCAAUGAAGGAAGUCACCUAACUCAACUGGCUACUAGAAUUAAGAUUCACAAAACAUAAUUCAUCAUUGUGAUUUGGUUUUGAGGCCAAAUUGUGUUAUCAUGUACGCUGGUGUAAAUCUAGAUUAAUUCCACUGAAGCCACUAGAGUUACCCUGGAUUUACAUUAGGAUAAGGAAGUGCAGAAUUUGGCCUUUACCAGCUAUUCUUCAAAACAAAUCCCAGAAAAGAAAAGAGAGAGUAUUUCUAAAGCCCAAACAAGUUAGAGGAAAAAUGUAAUAGAGAAUGUUGCCUUAAGUGAAAAACCACAAUUUUAACUGCGUAUAGUAAAAGUGAAAAGAGCCUUAAAAACCAGUCAAAGCAAAAUGUUAAUUCUAAUUGUUCUAUUUAGUUGUCCUUGAUUUGUGACAGGUUUGUUAGUAUGCAGAUUUCCUACAUGCCACUUUCCAUGGGGGUGUUUACCAAGUGAAAUUAUGCAGACGAUUUCCCCUCGCAUCUCACGUCUUUAUUCCUAAUUAUGUUGGCCCUGUGUUCACUCAGCGUUAUGUUACAGUUGUCCCCAAGUGUUCUUGAUUUGGGACCAGUGACAAACUAAAUCAUCCGAUGAAGUGGGCUGUAGCUCACGAAAGCUUAUGCUCAAAUAAAUUUGUUAGUCUCUAAGGUGCCACAAGUCCUCCUUUUCUUUUUGCAAAACUAAAUCAUAUAGUUUAUGCAGAACAUUUAAAAAAAUCAUAAAAAGUAAAUCCUGAGAUGCUGAAAAACAGGGUUGUGCUUGCUUAUUCCUCCCAACAGAUGUUUACCUGUUUAUUGGCAUUGUUCUAUUAUAUUUCUUAAUCCCUUUUUGAUUUUCCUGUUCUGUAUUUAGGAUUUAGCUGUUCAAUAAUUUCACCUGGACUAUAUGUUUCCUAAUAAAAAUGUACCUGUAUAACUACUGGCAUGCUGCAGUCCAUGGGCUCAAACCAGAGAUUCAAACAGUGAUGGCUAGACUGGGCAUUAUUGUAUUCUAUGGUAUUUGUAUUGUACUUGGAUGUUCUGCCUGUGAAAGUGAAGAGCUGGUUUUCUGGUACUGGUACCAGCAGACCCUGCUGGCUAAUGCCUCAUAGUGGACUGAAGAGUACCUAGUGCUGAGUGUCCUGAGAAGCCACCAUGCCCAUAUCUGAAGUCCUGAGUGCUGGGACAGAUAGCCAAGCAGGCUAAGGAAUCGCUGUGGAUAGUGUGAUGGGAUAAGGGAACUCAAACCAGGUAGUCAGGAGGACAAGGACUCAUGGUGUGUAUCUAGGAUGCUAAGCUCAGACCUUCACCUGUGAUUGCAGUCACUGGACACUUGCCCAUGAAAAUUAAGGGAACAAAAAAGGAUCAGCCUGAUUGCCAUGGGGUCUGUUACCAGCAUCUGACCAGCACACACAGUAUUAAUCAGUUCUGCCCAAAGUUAGAGUGUGAUUAUUCCGAAAUGUGUGCCUCUACUAUUGUAUCAAUGGAUGAGGCUCUCUGGAUCUUAGUGAUGAUCUCUGUCCAUACAGGUUUGGAAUCCAGGAUAUAGUGAACAUUCACUGCAAUGUAUUGUUUAUUUGGGAACUCAGUCAUUCUGCAACUGAUCAUGCAUCUCUGCACUGGCGUUAGGCCAUGAGGACUCCAAUCCCAAGAUCACAUACCAUGGUAGCUGGCUCUUCAGUUUUACGCCUUAUCUGUUUUCCAUGACGCUAAUGCCAAUGUCAUUGGGAUAAUGGCCCUUAGAAAGUUAUCACCUGUCAGCUGGUUUUGUGUGUAUGUGGUAUACAGGUCCAUUGGGAAUCUAAAGGAGUGGACGAGGAGACCUCUGGGACCAAAACCUGCGUGUUUUUUUUAAUGACAAUGGUGGGAGGUGGGCGCGAAGGAAACAACCUGCAGGAAAUAACCAGGCACAGUGGCUACCUCCUUUCCUCUGGUUAUGGAAAGGGAGAAGGCACCACUGAGUGCCAGGAUGCAGACAAGGAGAGAAGCAGGUGGAUCUCAUUCUUAAUAAAAGGAGCUGCUGUGUUCCAAACAAAGGUGGUAGAGAGAUGCCGAGGAAAUGUUUACUUGGGUGAAUGGUUCAAAGCCCUGGUGCUUCUUUGCAGGGCAGGGGAGGAUUCAGAUUGGAGUCCAUUUGUAUUUGUUUUGUGUCUAGACUUGAGUCUGAGAAUUUAAAUAAAUAAAAUAUUCCUGGGGCGGGUGGCCCAGUGAACAGAGCACUAGAUUGGGAAUCCUAAAACCUGGGUUCUGUUUGCAGCUGUCACUGACCAGCUGUGUGACCCUGGGCAUAUCAUUUAACUUCUCUGUGCCUUUGUUUCCCCUUCAUCUGUGCUGUCAAUUUAGACUGUAAAUUUAUCAAGGCAUGGAAUGUCUUUUACUGUGCAAUUGUUCAGUGUGUAACAAAGUGAGCUCCUGACCUCAGUUGGGGUCUCUACAUGCUCUUGUAAUACAAAUAAUAAAAUAAUGAAAAAGGGAUCUUUUUAUUGUUGAACCCACCACCAAAAAAAAAAAUGGUGCAUUUCUCACAAUUUGUUGGCCCUCCCACAAGAAUUAUCUGGGGUUAUCUAGAUAAGAGUUAAAAAACCCAGCGAGAUGGAACUGAGGAGCAAGGGGACUGGUGGAAGAGAAGUUAGAUUGUUCGCUUAGUAUGGGUCUGACUGCAAUAUUCAAUGUAGGUCCCAUUGCUGAGAAUCUGAAUCCAACUGGUCUGUCUAUCUCAUGUGACUUGGAAAUCAUCCUUUAACCCAAUGCUGAUGUGCAGGGUUCCCAGAAUUACUUGUUUUAUUUUCAGCUAUGAGUGAGAAACAUUUGACUUCCUGAAUAGAGAGAGUAUUCAAGGGCUUUUCUUUUUCUUUAAAUUCAAGGGCUUGUCCCUUCUGUAACCAUCUACCUGAAAAGUCAGUGAACAUUUUAAUAAAUGUCACUGCACAUCCAUGUAUGAAUUUUUGGCCUCCACGUACUAUAUAAAGUGUUCUGAAGAAUAGCCCCUCUGCCUCACUUCAACAAGUGCUACACAAAUCUUCAAACAUAGACAUUGAAUGGCCGUAAGUAUUAGUCUGUAUCCACAAAAACAACAAGGAGUCCGGGGGCACCUUAAAGACUAACAGAUUUAUUUGGGCAUAAGCUUUCGUGGGUAAAAAUAACACUUCUUCAGAUGCAACUGAAUUGAAUAGUCUUGUUCAUUGCAACAUGAUGCUUUCUGAAUCUGCGGCUGGCUUUUUUCAAAGCCCCUGUUCUGAUAUAGCAAACCUAUAUAACAUGGUAAAGAGCUGGUUUAUUUGAAGUCUGCUAAAAAGAGAUGGUAAUUAAACUACCACAAACAUAAUGACACUGUGACAAUUAAUAGUCAAACAGAAUCAGCUGAGAAAGCAGAUCUGAUUCCAUGCUGACUGCAGCUUCCACCUAUUGCUGACCACAAUAACCUUUUUGGGAAAAGUCACUUCCAUCAGUCAGGCCAAUAUAGGGCACUGGCCGCAAGGCAGCAAAACAGUACUUGGAAUAAUUCUUUGCAGAUGCCAGGAACCGGAAGUUUCAGGAGGAAAAAUGAAAGCCAUUCACUCUUCCAAUGACACAGGCCUUUGAUACCACAAAGUCAUUUGGGCAGAGAGCUCCAAGGUCAGGAAGGCACGUAAAGAUUGGUGAUUAGAGAAAUACUAUAUCAGCAAAGUGUGGCAAGCUAUUAAAAGAAACUGUAGCUUUUAUGAUUGUGUUGCUGAAGCUUCCCCAGGGCUAUUUGCAUUAGAUAUUGAGUUAAGCAUAACUUAUUUAGUCCCAGCAUUCCAGAAAACAUUUUGAUGUCAGCUACUGCAGGAAAGUAAACACGAGGCGAAGGAGGAAACAGUACUGAUCCCAAACAGAUAAAAUAUUGUAAUUUAAUUUUAUGAACCCAUGCAUUUCAGAGCAUUAAGAAUGAGGAAUUUUUAAAAGGCUCUUUUAACUUUUUUUUUUUAAAAAAGGGUGGUGGAAUGAGGGAAAGCUUUUAGUCAUUUUGUUGGGAGGGGGAGGGGAAAGGGAGAAGAGAGAAACCAAGUCAUGAUUUAUCAUCAAAUGUACACUAGUAUCUGCCAAUACAUUAAUGCAUUUACUCUUAUGAAGGAUUUUAUGCAUAGCUAUAGCUCUCUUCUAAUUUUAUAUACUUGCAUACAAUAGUAUUUUUUCAUUUCUUUGUCCAGUGGCUCUUCUGCAUGUCUGCUGAUGGGGACUUAUAACAAGUAAAAAGGACCUCGAAAAUGGAAUUGCAGUUUGGUGGAGCAUGUCUGAGGAAGGAGAUCCUUCUUUUUGGAUUGUGCUGGCAAACACUGAUUGAACGCUGUUCACGGUACUUGGAGAAUAAGAAGUAGUCCCUUACAAGGUUGUGCACAAAAUCUGGUUGCAUUCAACGCACAGUGUAGGGGUUCUAUCUCCAUCCCAUCUGCUUCAUGCUGAUACUCCCAGCUGUGCCACUCUUGCUGCCAGCGUGUUUUCUGCUGUUGGUGCCACUGCAAAUCCUCAACUGGUGAUAUUAAAAUUCUGGAUUGUUAGUCACUAAAUUGAGAUUAACUGCUAUAGCCAAAAGAUUGAACUCUCAGGAAAGGUGGUUAUCCCACAGAUUACCAGCUCCUAUACUGGACCAGAGUUGGUUUGUUUUAAAGAGGAAGCCAAUAAAGCAAACAAGGAAUUUUGUAUAUGGAUUAUCUCUUGAAUCACUGUUCUAGGAUAUCACAGCAGGGAUACAAGGGAAUCACAGACUUCAAUGAAUGGUCAGAUUUUCCUUGGAUUGACCACAAUAACUGUGUACACAAGGGGGGGAAAGCUGGAACCCCAAAAGCCAUACAUACCUUAUGGUGAAGAAUACUCUCUCUCUAAUACAUUGGAGACACUGUCCAAGAGCAGUUUUUUUUUUUUUUUAACAUAAAGACUGACCUUGCAGUGUUGACAAAGCUUUGCUUACUGGCUAUAGAAUUGUUAUGGCCACAAGUUAAAGGAUCCUGGAAGUAGCUUGUUCACCUCACUUUUGUGUAAGAUUUUUGGUACCUUUGUGUUCAUUCACUGGUGUUGCCUGCUCACGGGUGCCUCCCUUCUCUGCCUGUCUGUAAAUUUACACACCCUCCCCAGCUUCAUCACUGUAAGCAGAAGUACAGGGUGCAGAAUAUUAGUUUUGCUUUGAUGGCCAAUUAGAGUCUGAUCUUGAGAGAUGCUGAGCUCCUUCAUUCUCAUUCACCUCAAUGGAAGAUGAGCUAUUUCAGUACUUUGUAUGGAGUGCUCAGUACCUGGCAUGAUCAGUACAGUGCUUUGGGGGAAAUUGUUGUAUUGUAACAGUGAUCUCUUUUGGAUCACUACAAUCCUCAUUCAGGGCUGGAAAAGAAUCCUCUCAGAAGAGGACAUGUACUUUGCUGGGGGUGGUUGUUUGGGAGAUGUUUUAUUUUUUUGCUGUAUAGUGUGUCCUAACUACUUAUGUAAUUCCUCUCCAGUGAAAAUAUGAUUAUAUUAGGAAUAUCCUGACUAUGCAGGCAACAUCUCCGUGAUUAGUUCUUCCAGACAGAGGGUUGUAUUCCACUUAGAAAUGCAAAUGCUUUGACUCCUGGUUAUCAAUAUCUCCAUGCAAGAUUUAGUCAGCAUAUUAAUUCCUACUACGCCCACUGCCUGGAAAGAUACUGAUUAAUAAAAGGGCACUAAUGAGAAAUGUUUUCAAACUAUUUUAUCCAAAUUUAGAUAUUGUAGCUAGAGUAGAACCUCAGUAUUACUCCUUGGGAAUGGAGAUUGUUCAUAACUCUGAACAAAAUUUUAUGGUUGUUCUUUCAAAAGUUUACAACUGAACAUUGACUUAAUACAGCUUUGAAACUUUACCAUGCAGAAGAAAAAUGCUUCUUUUAACCAUGUUAAUUUAAAAGAAACAAGCACAAAAACACAUUCCUUACCUUGCCAAAUCUUUUU